AGGACGAACGCUGGCGGCGUGCUUAACACAUGCAAGUCGAGCGGUAAGGCCUUUCGGGGUACACGAGCGGCGAACGGGUGAGUAACACGUGGGUGAUCUGCCCUGCACUUCGGGAUAAGCCUGGGAAACUGGGUCUAAUACCGGAUAUGACCUCCUAUCGCAUGGUGGGUGGUGGAAAGAUUUAUCGGUGCAGGAUGGGCCCGCGGCCUAUCAGCUUGUUGGUGGGGUAAUGGCCUACCAAGGCGACGACGGGUAGCCGACCUGAGAGGGUGACCGGCCACGACUGGGACUGAGACACGG
rnacentral:rRNA from 1 species